GAAGAAGGGAGGAGGAACCAAAUG
rnacentral:piRNA from 1 species